rnacentral:rRNA from 1 species
AGUGAACGCUGGCGGUAGGCCUAACACAUGCAAGUCGAACGGCAGCACAGUAAGAGCUUGCUCUUACGGGUGGCGAGUGGCGGACGGGUGAGGAAUAAAUCGGAAUCUACUUUUUCGUGGGGGAUAACGUAGGGAAACUUACGCUCAUACCGCAUACGACCUACGGGUGAAAGCAGGGGAUCUUCGGACCUUGCGCGAUUGAAUGAGCCGAUGUCGGAUUAGCUAGUUGGCGGGGUAAAGGCCCACCAAGGCGACGAUCCGUAGCUGGUCUGAGAGGAUGAGCAGCCACACUGGAACUGAGACACGGUCCAGACUCCUACGGGAGGCAGCAGUGGGGAAUAUUGGACAAUGGGCGCAAGCCUGAUCCAGCCAUACCGCGUGGGGGAAGAAGGCCUUCGGGUUGUAAAGCUCUUUUGUUGGGAAAGAAAAGCAGCAGGUUAAUACCCCGCUGUUCUGACGGUACCCAAAGAAUAAGCACCGGCUAACUUCGUG